rnacentral:lncRNA from 1 species
UUACAGCUAUCUUAAUUAAAUUCUCCUCUGAACCUCAAGAAAGUGAGGAAGAACUACAAGAUAGGACUUAAAGUUCUCCAUCCACCACUGUGGUAAUGUUCAUUAAACUAAUGGAUCCAAGCAAGGGUCAUUCUACAACAAAGGAUUUUGUGGCAACUUCCAUCACAAACAAAAAAGAAAAAGGCUGCAGAGAAUUUCAGUCAUAACCCAGGUUUCCAUGAAUGUGGCUGCGGUUGCUGAUGGCCAUCUGGGUGGCCUCGGAUCCUCUGCGAUGUCACACGGUGCUGUCACAAGGAAGCCUCGCAGGAUCGGAGCCCACGCGGAGGAUCAACUCCAGG